rnacentral:siRNA from 1 species
UGGUGUACCCUAUGCAAUUUGU